rnacentral:rRNA from 1 species
AUUGAACGCUGGCGGAAUGCUUUACACAUGCAAGUCGAGCGGCAGCACGGACUUCGGUCUGGUGGCGAGUGGCGAACGGGUGAGUAAUGUAUCGGACCGUGCCCAGUCGUGGGGGAUAACGUAGUGAAAAUUACGCUAAUACCGCAUACGAUCUAUGGAUGAAAGCGGGGGAUCGCAAGACCUCGCGCGAUUGGAGCGGCCGAUAUCAGAUUAGGUAGUUGGUGGGGUAAGGGCCCACCAAGCCAACGAUCUGUAGCAGGUCUGAGAGGACGACCAGCCACACUGGAACUGAGACACGGUCCAGACUCCGACGGGAGGCAGCAGUGGGGAAUUUUGGACAAUGGGCGAAAGCCUGAUCCAGCCAUUCCGCGUGCAGGAUGAAGGCCCUCGGGUUGUAAACUGCUUUUGUACAGAACGAAAAGGUUUCUACUAAUACUAGGAGCUCAUGACGGUACUGUAAGAAUAAGCACCGGCUAACUACGUGCCAGCCGCCGCAGUAA